AUAAAAAGCGCAUUUCGCUGCAAGGACUAGCGGUCGAUACGGAGAAUACGGAGAAUACGGGAUUACUCUACUCUUCCUUCAUCAUUUUAA